rnacentral:rRNA from 1 species
UACGUAGGGGGCUAGCGUUGUCCGGAAUCAUUGGGCGUAAAGCGCGCGUAGGCGGCCAGAUAAGUCCGGUGUGAAAGUCACAGGCUCAACCUGUGAAUGCCGCUGGAAACUGUCUGGCUUGAGUCCGGAAGGGGCGAGUGGAAUUCCUGGUGUAGCGGUGAAAUGCGCAGAUAUCAGGAGGAACACCAAUGGCGAAGGCAGCUCGCUGGGACGUUACUGACACUGAGGCGCGAAAGCGUGGGGAGCGAACAGG